GGCAUCUCAAGUGGAGAGAAUGAUGCUGUGAUACAAUGUGGCAGUCAUCCACACCCACCGCCAUCAUCACUGACAAUGACAACAACUACUGCUUUAAAAAACGGAAAGGUCAGUAUUCGGGGCAUCCUGCCAGGUGUUUCUGAAGCAGCCGACCAGUGCAGUGAAUGUAAUUAUGGCGCUAUGGCGAUCUGAUAACCUGCCAGUCUGUCUCUCAACACUAGAAACGUGCAGCGGCAUAUUAAAUGGUC
rnacentral:lncRNA from 1 species